rnacentral:lncRNA from 1 species
CCGAGUUUUGCCUCUCUCACUGGCAGCAACCCAGCGCUUCCAUUGCUGACCUCUACCGACCUCUACCUGUGGUCCUUCCUCUACUGCAGCAGAGACACUGUUUUCUUCCUUUGUUCUUCCAACCCCAUGGCACAGAAACACUCUCCACUGCGGCCAAGGAUUGCAGGAGAGGUGGCAUCAGUGAUUCAAGACUUCUUUUCCUACCUCUUCAGUGUUUCUUUCAGUGAUCUGAAGUUAAAGCCAGGUACCAUAAGUGCUCACCUGAUUUUUGCUGCUUACAAAGGGGGAAUAUCACAGAAGUGAAGUGCAAUUCUCAUCAUGUCAUAUCAAGAGCACACACUAACAAACAACAUGACUUAUUGCUGAAUAUUGAACUUGAUCACCUGGCUGAGGUAGUGUUUGCCAGAUUUCUCUGUAAAGGUACUGUUUUUACCUCCAUUCUAUAUUGUACUCCUUCAAAAGAAAUCGCCAACCACAGUUCAUACUUAAGGGGUGGGGAGGUUAUGAUCUAUUUAUUUGAGGACAGAACAUCUCCAUAAAUUAUUUGGAUUCUUCUGCAUGGAAGAUUUGUCUACUCUCACCAAUUUACUAAUUCAUUCAACUAUUU